rnacentral:rRNA from 1 species
CCUACGGGUGGCAGCAGUAGGGAAUCUUUCACAAUGGGCGAAAGCCUGAUGCAGCAACGCCGCGUGCAGGAUGAAGGCCUUCGGGUUGUAAACUGCUUUUAUAAGCGAGAAAUAUGAUGGUAACUUAUGAAUAAGGAUCGGCUAACUACGUGCCAGCAGCCGCGGUCAUACGUAGGAUCCGAGCAUUAUCCGGAGUGACUGGGUGUAAAGAGUUGCGUAGGUGGGAUAAUAAGUAGCUAGUGAAAUCUGGUGGCUCAACCAUUCAGACUAUUAGCUAAACUGUUAAGCUCGAGACCGUUAGGGGUAACUGGAAUUUCUAGUGUAGGGGUGAAAUCCGUAGAUAUUAGAAGGAACACCAAUAGCGUAGGCAGGUUGCUGGGACGGUUCUGACACUGAGGCACGAAAGCGUAGGGAGCAAACGGGAUUAGAUACCCUAGUAGUC